rnacentral:lncRNA from 1 species
UUUAGAGGAAAGUCAAAUCUUGGUAUUAUUAAAAUUGUGUAAAAAAGAAUAAAUCGUCCAGUCGAUCAAUGAAGAUCGCUGGUCUAUCUCUAAAAUAAUAUGAACUUUUCUUUAAUUAUUGUGUAAUAAGGUGCCAGCUAUCUAGUCCACACAGUGAUUCUGUACGUAGAUAGGGAAGCAGUGACAUGCCCCGUGGGAAGUUGUGCAACACAGAGAAAAGGAGGACUCUGUGUGUUUUAUCUACUUCAGCAAUGGAACUGCGACCUGGGGCUUUUGUGAAUAAAAUUUAGCUGCCUUGUAUAGUCCUUUGAAAGAGACAUACGUGAUCUGUGAGAAUUAUAGGGUUUUUUUUUUUUUUAGAAGAAAAAUUUGCAAAAGAUCUUUCCAAAGAUAAUGUGCCACAGAUCUUUUGUUUGCUGUUCUCUGUAAUGAGGAUUCAUUGCUGUUUAAAAAAACGUGUAAUUGACUUGUUCGUCUUCAGAUUCUUUACUUUUCAUUAGAGGAUCGAGCUG